CGCGUAGGCGGCAUGCCAAGCGUGUGGUGAAAGCCCGGGGCUCAACCCCGGGUCGGCCGUGCGGACUGGCGUGCUCGAGCACUGUAGGGGCGGGUGGAAUUCCGGGUGUAGCGGUGGAAUGCGUAGAGAUCCGGAAGAACACCGGUGGCGAAGGCGGCCCGCUGGGCAGGAAGGAAGCGUAAGCUUCCGGCUGACGCUGAGGCGCGACAGCGUGGGGAGCAAACAGGAUUAGAUACCCUGGUAGUCCACGCCGUAAACGAUGGGCACUAGGUGCUUGGGGGAGCGACCCUCCGGGUGCCGGCGCUAACGCAUUAAGUGCCCCGCCUGGGGAGUACGGCCGCAAGGCUGAA
rnacentral:rRNA from 1 species